rnacentral:lncRNA from 1 species
GAAAUAGCAGAAAUACUGCUUACCCAUGAGGCUGCAUUCCAAGUGGAUUUAAACCUGGAAUACAAAGUCUUAGCAAGGGGUCAUUUCUGAUGUAGGAGUGGGCAAGCAGCUGACCAAAAACGUGUGGCCCAGGGAAGCUGUGGAAAAGCACUGGAAGACAAGCAGGUCAGGGUGCAGUGUUGACUAUUGCAAUAUGCUGCAGUCAUACCAAACAACCCAAACCAAAGCAAAGGCCAACAAGAAGUCA